UCCCUCUAUAUCAACAAACGUACCACAACAGAUUCAAUUAAAGCAAGCAAAGGUAAACCAAUUCCAUUUAAUCACAAUUGUUCCCUACGAGCUUCUAUCUUCUCUAUUUGACUUGUAUCCAUAUGUAUUCACAAGACAAGUAUUCACAAAUUGCUUAUACUUAAAAACUCAAUAAAUAAUUCAGCUCAAACAUAUCUAAAAGGAGAAUCAAAACUAGUCAUAAAGCAAUGACUAAUGGAUGGUGCGCAAAUAAACAUAGACCAACACAUAAAAGAAAUUGAGUAAAAGAAAAUAGCAGGGGAAAGAAUGCACUUCACACAGCAGAUUUGAAGGUCGACUAAUACAAAACUUGUGCCUUGAAUUCGACGGAGUAAGUAACAACAAUAUUGGUCCAAGAACCACAAAAUUCGACCUCAACGAACCUCGAACAACUUCAAUGAUUGAAAAACCGCUUCAACUCCACUUCAACUAUAUAUCGGUGAACUAUAACAAAAAUCAGAAAAGGAAAAGUCUGAAUCAAAAGACAUGGCAACGGUGACUUGGAGAGGAGGUGGGACGCUGGGUAUUAGAGCAGCGUCACCGAUGGUCUAUGACUCGACAGAUUCUGCCUUUUGGCUAUGAGACAAGGGGUGCGAUGGCUGUUAAGAGGUGGAGGAGGUCUGGUUUUAUGGAGAUUUUGCAGUAUAUCUCACAUGAUGAAAAUGGGCUGCAUUCGCUCCUUUCCCCCUGUAUUUUCUGUCCGUCUCCGUCACAGUAGUAACAGAGAAAUGGGAAAACGAUAAAAAAGAAGAACAAUGGACAUCGUCCGUGGCCAACACUGGUGGACGGUGGUUCGUUUGGGAGUGACGAUUGGCUUUUUAGUUCAAGUGGAGGGUGGCCUUUUUUAGGGUUCAGCUGGUAGCUUAGGGUUUCCAGGUUCUAGGGUUAAGAAGAAAGGGUUUUAACUUUAGGAUAUUAGGUUAUUGUGGGUUUAAUGGGUAUUGGGCUUGGAUUUAUGGGCUAAGGAUCCAAAUUGGGCCAAAUUUUUACCUAAUUUAUCUAUAAAAGUG
rnacentral:lncRNA from 1 species